UACGAAGGGUGCAAGCGUUACUCGGAAUUACUGGGCGUAAAGCGUGCGUAGGUGGUUUGUUAAGUCUGUUGUGAAAGCCCCGGGCUCAACCUGGGAAUGGCAAUGGAUACUGGCAGGCUAGAGUGCGGUAGAGGGUAGUGGAAUUCCCGGUGUAGCGGUGAAAUGCGUAGAUAUCGGAAGGAACACCGGUGGCGAAAGCGGCGCGCUGGAUCCCUACUGACGCUGAGGCACGAAAGCCAGGGAGCAAACGGG
rnacentral:rRNA from 1 species